rnacentral:misc_RNA from 1 species
CUCCCGAAUUUUGGAUGCCGGCUACCCGUCCUUUUUGUCAUGAGAUUUUGCUAGUCGAAGGGGGGGGUGGGUGUGUGUUUUGUGCCCUUCCCUCGGCGAGACGAAGCAUGAAUCACUUCCCAGGAGGCGUUGCGGAAGGCCUGAGUUUUUGUCCGUGGAGACGGACGGUAGCGAGGGACGAGCGACCGCCUGGGGUGCAUCAAAACUCUUUUGCGGGAAAUUGUGAAGUCUGAAGUGAUAGGUUAAAAAGAAGCAAAACUUUCAACAAUGGAUCUCUUGGCUCUGGCAACGAUGAAGAACGCAGCGAAACGCGAAAGGUAAUGCGAAUUGCAGAAUCAGUGAGUCAUCGAAUCUUUGAACGCACAUUGCGCCUCUCGGUAUUCCGGGAGGCACGCCUGUUCGAGCGCCAUUACACACUCCAAGCGCGGCUUGAUGUUGGAUGAUGCGGGCCCCCGGGUUGGGGGGUUUGCACGUAUGGAACGUGUUGGCGUCCUGUCUGACGAGACACCGCGAGCGUAGCAAGAAUUUUGUUUUUUGCAAAAGUCAUUUUUCGCUCUGUUGGGACUCCCAGGGCGGACAGCCGGUCUCUUGUUGUUCUUUAGAAAGAGUAGGGACAAGUGAGAGAGUUUUUAAAACAAAAGAGUUUGGCCUCGGAUCAGGCGGGGAUACCCGCUGAACUUAAGCAUAUCAAUAA